AUUAAGUAAAGAUAUUGAGACACCGCCAAGAAACGGGCCUUUCAGCAAAACACUAUUGGUAUUUGUAAUCGCCAGCGUUAUUUGUGCCAUCGUUUUCGGUUUGAUUUCAGGAUUCACACCAGAAGAUCCCUUCAUUACUGCGCAACUAGGAAAGACGCAGGAUCUACUGGUGAGGCAAGAGACACAAAUCAAGGACCUCCAAUUUCUGCUAGAGGAAAGGAAUGGUAUUAUUGCACAGCUAGUGAAAGAAUCUGCCCAGUUAAAGGCAGAUAUCCAUUUUAUUACUCAAAGUCUCAUGAGUCAAAGGCUUGUUUCAAAGAGACGUCAGGAAUCCUAAAAGAGCAUCAAUAAAUUGGAUCAAAUGCGCUUUCGUGAUAACGGAAGCUCUAUAAAGUACAGAACGUUUUCUUUAGAACGAAGAAACUCCUUUAAGUAAGGUACAGCCUCUGUAGAUUAUUAAGUGGUAUAUGCAUCAUGGAUUAUGUUUGUGUGUGUUGCCAUUACUAGAAUACGUCAUUCCAUACAAUAUACAAUAAUUAUGAAAGUAUCCAUUUUAAAAAACUCAGUAUUGCCCAAAAAUCAAUAUUAAGUUCCGGAAUCCCUACAUACAAAAAUCAGGGAAACUGUGCCAUAUACCUAAGUAUAUAGGUAGUGACAAUUUUCUGCGUAUGUGUGAUGAGGUAAUCAGUUAAUAAUUAUUUGAACCAUUUUUCUCCGCUGUUUAUAUUUUACUUGUUGUCAAAAGCAUCGAAGUGUCUAAUUUGACAUAUAUGUGACUGGUGCAAAAUUCAAUUAUCACCAUUAAUGGAUGGAGAAACAGUUAUAUCAGCUGGAAAUGCAACGCUAUAAAAACAAAGUUGACUAAUCGCUCGUCUAUAUUACAAGAAAUUAAGCGAUCUAUAAAUAAACAGCAUAUCACUGGUCUAGGGGACGGUAGCUGAAGCAAAAUAUCAUUUAUAUUUUAAUAGAAUCGGCUUUUCCUAUUAUAUUCCAUGGUCUUAAAGUAAGAUCUAGUUGAUAUUCAUGCACAAUGACUGCUAACAUAAACUUCACGCUUAUGGAUGUGUCAUUUACACGAAGAAGUUGUGUCAGACGAGCCUCUGUAACGAAUUUCUGAACCAAGUGUCACAGUUUUCAGGACGAUUUCUGUAUGAUUUACCUUUAUCGAAAACGAAAAUCGGUAUGCAUUUCACAGAAUUGAUUAUAUAGCGAUAUUUUGCCUUAGAAAGUGACUCAGUGCAUAGGUUAUGUAAAUAGCAAAUUAAAUCUAAUGCCAUUUUGUCUAUUAAUUGUCACGGACUUCAUGACCACUCAUUUUAAAUGUCAGGGACUUCUGUGUACAGUAUGAGAAAUGCAUGUCAUAGAAAUAUGGGUACUUAAUAUGGUGAACAUUUCCUUUAUUGAAAACUAGUCUUUGCUACAUGACUUUUCAUGUACAUGUAUCAGUAACAUACGAAUAGGUCGUUAUCGCUUUUCAGUUAUAGUUGGUGACAGUCAUGCCCAGACAAAUUCUCUCACUGAUAUUUAGCCAUAUCCUGUUGAAAUAUUUUACCGGCAUCUAUACACACCAUUUAUAAUUUUGAAUAAGCCAGUAGUAUACAUUUACCGUUUGACAUAAUAAUGCCCAGAGUUAAUGCGCAUUUUCUAUCACCAGUAGACAGUCAAAGUUAACAGAUUCCGUUUCCUAUUUCAAGUCCGUAUAUACUUUAUCUACUACCUUACAUACAGCUUUCAAAGUGUACAUGAGUCAGAAGAGCCUUGGAUGAAACACUGGUAGUCUUAUAGACCUCCGUCCCAUAACCUCAUAGAAGUUCUGAAUAAUAACAGGAUUUUGUAAAAUAUAAGUGUGAGAAUUUGUGUGACUAAGAGUGGUCAUUAACAUUAACUGGAAAAAGUGAUUGUAACUUGCUGGUACAGGAAAGAUCUUUGUCAAGUAUACAGUGGAGCUCGCGAUAAAUUUCUGUGCAAUGUUUUGAAACGUUUCCAGUUUCCCGUGAACUAACAGUUAUCUAAGCAAUCGUCCAAUCAAAUGAUAUCUAAACGGGAAGCGUUGAUCGAGAAUCGUUCAGCCAAUCAAAAGCUUGGUAGGCGUUCCCAAGAAGUCAAAUGAUAUAUAAACGGUGAUUUUCCAUAAAUGGAAAUGUUCAAUCUACUCAUGAUUCUAAGAUGUCAGUAUGUCAUACUGAAGACAGAUAUUCGUGACAUGAAAUAUGUAUCGUUUGUAAUUAUACAAGACACUUAGUAUAUAUAUAAACAUAAAAAACAUAUUCUGGUUUCAGGUUGUCUGUCUGUCUGUAUGUCUGUCCGUAGACAAAAUCUUGUGCGCACCAUCUCCCUUCAUCCCCUUGACACAAUUUAAUGAAACUUCACACAAGUGAUCAGUAACAACAGUAGUUGUGCAUGGGGCAUGUUAGGUUCUUUUUGAAAAAAAAUUGCAGAGUUACGGGACUUUGUUUUUUGUUACUAUACUAUAUACAUAGACACAAUCUUGUGCGCACCAUCUCUCUUCAUCCCCUUGACACAAUUUAAUGAAACUUCACACAAGUGAUCAGUAACAACAGUAGUUGUGCAUGGGGCAUGUUAGGUUCUUUCAGAAAAAAAAAUUGCAGUGUUACGGGACUUUGUUUCUUGUUAACGUACUAUGUACAUACAGUCUGCAUAUGCAAUCUUGUGCUCGCCUAAUCUUCCGAACCCUUGCACACAAUUUAAUGACACUUCACACAAGUGAUCAGUACCAAUCUUUGUUGUGCAUGGUGCAUGUUACGUUCUUUUAGAUAAAUAUUCUGCAUAGUUAUGGGACUUUGUUUUUUGUUACUAUAAUGUAUACAUACAGUCUAUACAGGAAUCAGUUGACGACAAAUGAUUUCAGACAGAAUGCAUUUUGUUAAAUCGUCACGGAGAAUAUAAGCCUCCACUGGGAGUGGAACUCACGACCCUGCAAUCCGGAGAUCUGUGACUUCCAUGUUGAGCUAAGCAGGCGGGCUAAAUAUACUGUUUGUUAUAUGAAAAAUGUUGCAUAAAAUAUCGAUGAGCCGUUAAAAUAUUGGUUAAUGUGUAAGAAUGCGGGAGAGUGAAGAUUGAAUUUCCACUAAUAUGUGGUUAAGUAUCAACCCAAUUUGUUUUGUUUUUGU